GACGAACGCUGGCGGCGUGGAUUAGGCAUGCAAGUCGAACGGUAGGAUACCUUCGGGUAUCUGAGAGUGGCGAACGGGUGAGUAACACGUAGGUGAUCUACCCUCAAGAUUGGGACAACCCAGGGAAACUUGGGCUAAUACCGGAUGAAAGCAGCAGUGAUGUUGUUUGAAAGGUGGCGUAAGCUGCCGUUUGGGGAUGAGCCUGCGCUCUAUUAGUUAGUUGGCGGGGUAAAGGCCCACCAAGGCGAUGAUAGAUAGGCGGCCUUAACGGGUGGUCGCCCACACUGGGAUUGAGAUACGGCCCAGACUCCUACGGGAGGCAGCAGUCGAGAAUAGUCUACAAUGGUCGAAAGGCUGAUAGUGCGACGCCGCGUGAACGAAGAAGCCCUUCGGGUGUAAAGUUCUUUUAUAUGUGAGCAGUGCUUUCUAUGUGAACAGCAUGGGGAGAGAGAUAUUAGCAUAUGAAUAAGCAACGGCUAACUCCGUGCCAGC
rnacentral:rRNA from 1 species